AUCUUUUACUUCAAUUUUUCUCUCUUCCUUUUGAAACUCUAAAUCCCCCCUUCUGCUUUGUUCUCUCCUCCAUAGCCCACAAACUCAUUCUGGUCCAUAUAAUUGUUGCCCAUCCACGAUCUCUUUAUGGCUCUUCCUGGUUCUCAAAACCUCAUUUCAGUAAGCCAUAUAUCUCCAUCUGAAAUGCCAUCUCUUAAACACCAUUUUCGGCAACCCCCAUCUGGAAACCCUAACUCACCGAGCUGAGCGGAAUCUUCGUCUCAAAUAACAAUCACGGCGAUGGCGCUGUUAGUUUCAGCUGGUGAAAUGCCAGCGAUGCUGGGCGACUAAGAUAUCUGUUGCAUUGUUGAUGCGCUCUCGAACGUCAACAGCCUUGGUGAUACAUGUUGGGUCGAGAUCUCAACCAGCGCUCCCCCGUGAAGAUAUUCUGGAGGUUUAAUUUUAGCAAGAUUAAGAAGAUUGGUUUCCGUAUGUGCUGUUGUGGUAAAAAAACCUCUGCCUUUAUGAUCUUUGGAAGAAAUCUGACCAUUCUGGUAGUUGGUAUAGGUGAUUUGCGGCGUCGCCUCUAUGCCUUGAAUCUUCUCCAUUUCGUUGGAUUCUUGGUAGUUGCGAAUGGUUUGGCUGCUGGAUACUCUUUGAUUCAAGGACUCCGUUGUGUUGUGAGUUUGGUUAGGGGAAGUGUUCUCUUCAACAAGCCCUUAGCUUGGGCCAUUUUCUCUGCUGAUCAGGUCUAGUGUUGAUGAAGAGCUUCGGGUGGUGCUUAUUAAAGGUCAUGUAAAAGCUACUUGAUUGUGAAUGAUAUUCUAACUCAUGAAACUGAAGUUGCUUCACGGCUAAUGAACACGCUCCAGAAAAAGGACCAAUUAUUCUCUGAUUUCGAGAUGUUGGUUUGAUUUUAUGAAUUUUAGAGGGAUAGAGGUAAGAUGCUGUAAGUACAUUAUAAAGAUAUGGCAAAUGAGGUGUCGAACAAUUUCAGGUUCAUGAAAAAAUAAUGGGAUGGUUUAGCACCAAGCAUGUUGAGCUAUUAAACUGGUUUAUUUUAAUAAAAAAAUUGUAACACUAGAGAUAACUUAUGUAGUUGUGGGAUUUUACCAGCCUCUAUGAAUGUCCAAUGUGUGGUAGAGCCAGAGAAUGUACGCCAUCUUUUCUUUAGUUGUAAUGUAGUAUUGAGUCUUUGGGGUGAUGUACUAUAUAAUAUGGGUCUACAUUGUAGAUGAGCUAAAGAAUGCUUCAAGUCAUGGAUUGCGGCACCGAUUCCAGCGAGGUAUAAGUAGCAGUGGGAGAUAAAUACACAGGUUUUGAAAUGGGAGAUAAAGUAUUGGAGUCAAGCUUGGGUGUCGAAUAAAGAAGAGCGCAGGAGAGGAGAAUUUAAAAUUCAAUAAUAUAAUGAUUUGAGGAGUGGAUGAAAUAUGUACAUAUGCUUUGUCUUAUUGUGGUCUUUAUUAUUAUUAUAGGAUGGUUUUUAUCUUCUUUGCUUGAUUUAGAAUAGUAGUUUCUUUAAGUUGUUGUUCUAUUUAGCAAGAUAGUAGUGGGUUUAUGUUUUGCUUUAAGCCUUUGUAACUACUACUGACCUCAUGUCUCUGAUAGGUUUAGUGCGUGAUUUCUUAUUAAAAAAGAUGCAAGCAAGACAAGCUAUUAGCUCUAAGGUUACAGCAAUAGGGGACUAGGGGUAGAAGGUAAUUUUUUUCGGGGGUUAAAUUUCUAUUUUCAUUUUUUUUUAUUGAACAGUUUUAUUGUUUUAACUGCCAUUACUAAUGUUAUUGUCAUUGAUGAUGAUUAUUAGUUUGGGAGAAA